UACGGAGGGGGCGAGCGUUGUCCGAAGUUACUGGGCGUAAAGCGCGCGUAGGCGGGUUGGCAAGUCCGCUGUGAAAGCCCGGUGCUUAACGCCGGAGGGUCGGUGGAUACUGCCAGUCUUGAAGGUGCUAGGGGAAGAUGGAAUUACCGGUGUAGCGGUGAAAUGCGUAGAUAUCGGGAGGAACACCAAUGGCGAAGGCAGCUCGCUGGGACGGUACUGACGCUGAGACGCGAAAGCGUGGGGAGCAAACAGG
rnacentral:rRNA from 1 species